rnacentral:rRNA from 1 species
GAUGAACACUAGCGGCAGGCUUAACACAUGCAAGUCGAGGGGUAUUGGUUUUCGGACCAAGAGACCGGCGCACGGGUGCGUAACGCGUAUGCAAUCUACCCUUUUGCAGAGGGAUAGCCCCAGAGAAAUUUGGAUUAAUACCUCAUAGUAUAGUACUUUGGCAUCAAGGAACUAUUAAAGUCACAACGGCAAAGAUGAGCAUGCGUCCCAUUAGCUAGUUGGUAAGGUAACGGCUUACCAAGGCUACGAUGGGUAGGGGUUCUGAGAGGGAGAUCCCCCACACUGGUACUGAGACACGGACCAGACUCCUACGGGAGGCAGCAGUGAGGAAUAUUGGACAAUGGGCGCAAGCCUGAUCCAGCCAUGCCGCGUGCAGGAUGACGGUCCCUAUGGAUUGUAACUGCUUUAUACAGGAGAACACUCCGCGUGUCGG